CCCCAUUGGAUUAUCUAGGAUUACAUUGACUUCUUUGCUGUAAAAAUUUUGUCUAGAAUGGAAACACAUGAGGCUCGACACACUUCAACAGGAUCUGAAGCAAAGGUGGGUCGACAGUGUCCGUCGCUGCCUCUCUGAGUCCAGCCUUUGCCUGUUCCAGGCCACUUCUGUGGGUACAUAUUGGAUGCGGCUGUUCUCUAGCAGUUAUCUCCCUCUGAUUGGAAGAAGUAUGCAGCUGAACAGAUGAGUUUAAUAAAAU
rnacentral:lncRNA from 1 species